rnacentral:rRNA from 1 species
GAGUUUGAUCGUGGCUCAGGAUGAACGCUAGCGGCAGGCUUAACACAUGCAAGUCGAGGGGCAGCGAGAUCAGUGCUUGCACUGAUUGUCGGCGACCGGCGCACGGGUGCGUAACGCGUAUGCAACCUACCCAUUACAGGGGGAUAACACUGAGAAAUCGGUACUAAUACCCCAUAACAUCCAGGGAGGCAUCUUCUUGGGUUGAAAACUCCGGUGGUAAUGGAUGGGCAUGCGUUGUAUUAGUUAGUUGGUGGGGUAACGGCUCACCAAGACAACGAUACAUAGGGGGACUGAGAGGUUAACCCCCCACAUUGGUACUGAGACACGGACCAAACUCCUACGGGAGGCAGCAGUGAGGAAUAUUGGUCAAUGGACGCAAGUCUGAACCAGCCAUGCCGCGUGCAGGAAGACGGCUCUAUGAGUUGUAAACUGCUUUUGUACGAGGGUAAACGCAGAUACGUGUAUCUGUCUGAAAGUAUCGUACGAAUAAGGAUCGGCUAACUCCGUGCCAG